CCUACGGGAGGCAGCAGUGGGGAAUAUUGGACAAUGGGGGCAACCCUGAUCCAGCGAUGCCGCGUGAGUGAUGAAGGCCUUCGGGUUGUAAAGCUCUUUUGCACGCGACGAUGAUGACGGUAGCGUGAGAAUAAGCCCCGGCUAACUCUGUGCCAGCAGCCGCGGUAAUACAGAGGGGGCUAGCGUUGUUCGGAAUGACUGGGCGUAAAGGGCGCGUAGGUGGUAUGACAAGUCAGGUGUGAAAGACCCAGGCUUAACCUGGGAACGGCAUUUGAGACCGUCAUGCUUGAGUCUGGGAGAGGAUAGCGGAAUUCCUAGUGUAGAGGUGAAAUUCGUAGAUAUUAGGAAGAACACCGGUGGCGAAGGCGGCUAUCUGGAACAGAACUGACACUGAGGCGCGAAAGCGUGGGGAGCAAACAGGAUUAGAUACCCUGGUAGUCCACGCCAUAAACGAUGAGUGCUAGACGCUGGAAGGUUUACCUUUCAGUGUCGCAGCUAACGCAUGAAGCACUCCGCCUGGGGAGUACGGUCGCAAGAUUAAAACUCAAAGGAAUUGACGG
rnacentral:rRNA from 1 species